rnacentral:rRNA from 1 species
UACGUAGGUGGCGAGCGUUGUCCGGAUUUACUGGGCGUAAAGGGAGCGUAGGCGGACUUUUAAGUGAGAUGUGAAAUACUCGGGCUCAACUUGAGUGCUGCAUUUCAAACUGGAAGUCUAGAGUGCGGGAGAGGAGAAUGGAAUUCCUAGUGUAGCGGUGAAAUGCGUAGAGAUUAGGAAGAACACCAGUGGCGAAGGCGAUUCUCUGGACUGUAACUGACGCUGAGGCUCGAAAGCGUGGGGAGCAAACAGG